rnacentral:rRNA from 1 species
UGGGGAAUAUUGGACAAUGGGCGAAAGCCUGAUCGAGCGACGCCGCGUGCAGGAUGAAGGCCCUCGGGUUGUAAACUGCGGUAGUAGGGGAGGAACGCAAGUGACUGUACCCUACGGAAAGUGGUUGGUAACUACGUGCCAGCACCAGCGGUAAUACGUAGACCACAAGCGUUAUCCGGAUUUAUUGGGCGUAAAGAGCAUGUAGGAGGUCCGGUGCGUCUCUGGUUAAAGCCCACCGCCUAACGGUGGAAGUGCCAGAGAUACGAUCGGACUGGAGGAUGUGAGAGGUGCAUGGAACUCACGGUGUAGGGGUGAAAUCCGUUGAUAUCGUGGGGAACACCAAAGGCGAAGGCAGUGCACUGGUACAUUCCUGACUCUGAGAUGCGAAAGCGUGGGGAGCAAAAAGGAUUAGAUACCCUAGUAGUCCCUGAGCGGGCUGGCAAGGCGCAU